GAAUUGGCGAGGGGAAGGCAGCUUCCUCUCCAAUUACGGUGAGGGGCACACACCUUGAAGGUCUCUUUGAAUUGCGGCCGCCAGCCCCUGCCCCCUCCCCUCUCCUCCGCCCCCUCCGCCGGGCCAUUCAUCGCUACAUUAGGGAGGAGGCAGAGGGUGACGAUGCUCCCCCAAGUUCACUUCUCGCUUGUUACAGGCGACCCAUUUAGAGCUGAAUGACUAUGUUCAGAGACAGCUCUAAAUGACACCCUCCACCUCUUCACGGAGCCACUUGGUUUUGUCUUUUUUUUUUUUUUUUGUAUCCCGGAGAAAUAAUUGAUAAACCGAACGGCCGGCCACCUUAAAGCUGGGCGCCUCCCUGGCCACCUGGUUAAAAUUCCUCCUCCGCUCCCCACCUCCCCACAUCCAUUUUGCUCUGUGCUGUUUAAACAAUACUUCAUCAAAUGCAGCCUGGAGCAAAUAAGAAAGCUCAGUAGAGUAAAUAAAAAGUCAAAAAAAAAAUCACCGGCUGGAGGGCAAGAUGCUUCCUCAGACAUGCUUCCUCAGUGCACCAGGCAGAAACUGGAAAAAGAUUACAAUUCAACAUGGCAAAUGCUAAAACAGAGGCCUACAGUGCAGAAACGUGUAGACCAUGGCCCAGACUCCUCACAUUCGGGACAGAGACAGCUCCUUGGCACAACAGGCAUACCUCAUUUUGUGUAAUACUUAAUAAACUCGAUUUGGUUAAAGAUAAAAUUUUAGUUGCAACACACUAGAAAUCCGUUCUUAAAGGAUACUUUUGCAUAGCAAAUAGUCAUUCCCAAUUUCCAUUUUACUUCCCACUUUUAGUAUAAUUUUCAUAAAUCUGCAUUGAGUUUCUUCCAGCAACAUGGAG
rnacentral:lncRNA from 1 species